GAUUAACGCUGGCGGCGUGCAUAACACAUGCAAGUCGAACGAUGAAACUUAGUAGACUUCUUCGGAAAGACACUAAGCGGAUUAGUGGCGACCGGGUGAGUAACGCGUGAGUAACCUGCCUUACACAAGGGGAUAGCCUUUGGAAACGAAGAAUAAUACCCUAUAAAACCAUAAAAGCACAUGCUAGAAUGGUCAAAGUGAUAGCGGUGUAAGAUGGACUUGCGUCUGAUUAGCUAGUUGGUGAGAUAAAAGCUCACCAAGGCAACGAUCAGUAGCCGGCUUGAGAGAGUGUACGGCCACAUUGGGACUGAGACACGGCCCAGACUCCUACGGGAGGCAGCAGUGGGGAAUUUUGCACAAUGGGGGAAACCCUGAUGCAGCGACGCCGCGUGAUUUAGAAGGCCUUCGGGUUGUAAAAAUCUUUUGUAUAGGAAGAAAAUGACAGUACUAUACGAAUAAGGUCCGGCUAAUUACGUG
rnacentral:rRNA from 1 species